ensembl:misc_RNA 7SK 7SK RNA
AGAUGUGACUGCAUCAGCACAAUUUCCCAGCAGGCUACCACAUCUGUCACUUCACUGAUCACCAGGGUUGAUUCAGCUGAUCUGGCUGGCUAGGCAGAUGUCCUCUUCCUCCCUCACUGCUCCAUAUGUGUCCCUCCUGAAGCUGUGUGCUUGGUGGAAGAGGACGGCCUUCCUUGAAUAGAGAUGACAAAUCUUCAGUUGAGGGUAUACAAGUAAUUGCGCACCCCUGCUAGAAACUCCAAACAAACUCUCACACACAAACUCACAAAAGGUUGUGAGUGUAUAGGAAUUUACUUAAAUGAGUGGCAGAAAUCACCCCUCUUUUCCUGUUUGCCCUUUCUGUUCUC